rnacentral:lncRNA from 1 species
UGAACGUCACAUUAAUACUUUUUUUCUUCAUUCACUCUCUUUUGUACUUUCUCUCUUACACUUGCCACCAUUUUCUUCUCGGAUCAUAGACUCCAAGCUUUUGUCUUCAAACCCUAACCCUACCCCAAGCCCCAACCUCACCCUCCCCGCAGUUUCCCGCUCUUCUCCUUCCUCCACUCCGUACGUCGUUGUGCCGCUACAAAAUCACCACCAAAGUCGCUCCCCUUAGUUUUUCACCCUUCUUUAGCAAAUAUUUUAGGGAAUGGAUCGAAUCGGAGUUAACAAGGAUGAAGAGAAAUAGAGAAAUUUUCAUCUCAUUUGUUCAAAUGCAUGGAUUUGGCUUGUGUUUUUUAGAUCUGGGUUUGUUUAGAUCUUAUGUUUUUCAUAUCUGAGGUUUUUAUGCAAAAUGGGUUUUUUGCAAUCUAAUCUUCUUCUUCUUCCUUUCUUUUGAUAAUUUUACUCAAUAUUGGGACUUUAGGUAUUAUUGGUUGUGCCUGGUUGUGUGUUUCCUUUUUUUUCCAAUACUGUUAAAUGUUGAAGGUGUGAAUUUAUGCUCACCAAGUGCUUGUUAAAAUUCGAAUAUCUGAAUGUUCUAGGUUUUGGGUUGUCGAUGUUCUUGCGUUUCUGUUUCUAUUUUUCUAGGUUGUGGAUGCUUGCA